rnacentral:rRNA from 1 species
CACGUAGGGUGCGAGCGUUGUCCGGAAUUAUUGGGCGUAAAGAGCUCGUAGGCGGUGUGUCGCGUCGGCCGUGAAAACCUGCAGCUUAACUGUGGGCUUGCGGUCGAUACGGGCAUCACUGGAGUUCGGCAGGGGAGACUGGAAUUCCUGGUGUAGCGGUGAAAUGCGCAGAUAUCAGGAGGAACACCGGUGGCGGAAGGCGGGUCUCUGGGACGGUACUGACGCUGGAGACGGCGAAAGCGUGGGGAGCGAACAGG